UUUAUUUUAUUUUAUUUUUUUUAUCUUUUGAUUUGGGAUUAAGCAUGCUGAUAUGGCAUCCAUUGUUAGAUUUAAUGGGUUAAUAGACGGUAGUUUACAAUUGUAAACAAAUUAUAAGUUCAAGAUUUUUUUGGGCAUUAUCCCUUAAAUAAUCCAUAUAAAGUAACUAAUAUUUAUAACAACUACAUUAAUUUAAGAGACACUGCUCCCUAUCUCUUGCUUGUCCCUUGUGCAACCAUCCUGCUAAAACUUUG
rnacentral:misc_RNA from 1 species